rnacentral:misc_RNA from 1 species
AACGCACAUUGCGCCCUUUGGUAUUCCGAAGGGCAUGCCUGUUCGAGCGUCAUUAUCACCCCUCAAGCCCGGCUUGCUGUUGGUGCCGGCGUGGCUUUAGGCCUCGUCCCGCCCAAAGAUAAUGACGGCGUUUGUGAGGACCCCUGUACACUGAGCUCUCGGGCACGUACACGGUUGGGAGUCCAGGCGCCGGUCGACGUCCGCAAGGACACUUUUUCUAAGGUUGACCUCGGAUCAGGUAGGGAUACCCGCUGAACUUAA